UCUUAGAAUCUUACUAUUUUUCAAGCCUGGUCCAAAGGUGUCCAGGCUGGUGAGCAGAGGGAAAUGCUGCUUGGGAUGCCUGGCUGCAGAGCUGCCUGAAAUAUCCCAGGGAAGUGCGGCAGAGGAGCGUUUUUACCUGUAAACAGGGGAGCUGAGCGAGCCUGGCACAUCUCAAAGCAAAUGAUGGACAAACGCUGCAGGGCAUGCUGAGGAAAAUAAAGCGCUUCCCCUUUAUCCCAAAUCUGCUCGUCUGGGGACCAUUCUGGGAGCUGAGGCUCUCGGAGCCUUUUCUUCUCUUUGCUCUUGUUCUCUUUAUUUCAGAGAGCUAACCCCAAGUAUCUGAGCGCUCUGUGACUCUGGCUUCAGGCCUGACUCAGGGGUGGGUGCAGGGUCAGUCUCUUUUUGGACUUUUUUUGGAGGGGUGGGACAUUGUAGCUAGCUUUUCUCUAAGCUGGAGCCUUGCUCCGUAGCAAUAGUGGUAAGACAAGGGGGAAUGGUUUUAAACUAAAGGAAGGGAGAUUUAGAUUAGAUGUUGUGGGGAAGUUGUUUACUGAGUAGACAGUGAGGCCCUGGCACAGGCUGCCCAGAGAGGCUGUGGAUGCCCCAUCCCUGGAGGUGUUCGAGGCCAGGCUGGACGGGGCCCUGGGCAGCCUGAUCUAGUACUGGAUCCAGCAGUUGGCAACCCUGCCUGUGGCACAGGGGUUGGAACUUGAUGAUCCUUGAGGUCCCUUCCAACCCAAGCCGUGCUAUGAUUCUAUGACAUCCCAUGCUCUCAAUGAGGACUGAGGGCAGUGCGAUAGAAUAGGAAACCAUCCCGCCGUGUUUUGCAACAGGGAAAAGGUUUUUCCCAGGUCCUUCUCAGUUCUGUAUGUGUCAGGAAAGCUUAGGACAGCUUCUGCUCUUUAUUUGGUUUUGUGAGAUCUUGGCUGAGCAAACUCCAUUAACCCUUUUGGGUCUCCCCUUGCUGCCAGCCACGGGGAAGACCCAGCUCCAGGCGCUUCCACUUGCGCACCACACAGAGAAGCAGAGCAAGAGGCCGGGUGCCGCGGGAGCGAUGCUCCACACAUGCCAAAGCCAUUAAUUAAAUUAGAGGUCUCCGAAGGCGGCCGCAGCAGCAGCUGGGCCAUCAGUCAUCGCGCCCCAGGCUGACACACAAGCCCCGGUGCAGGCAGGGAAAUGGUGGUUUCUAUUUAAAGUUGGCUGGGGCCCAGCCCUUGGCCCGUGCCGGGGUCCCCUGGCAGCACGGAGCCCUGCGGUUCAUUACGUAGCGCACGGGGAGAGCUGCGGCAGCCCUGGCAUGGCACACUAUGAAUGACUUGAUGCUCUCGGCAGGGCAGGGCUGGCCGGCGGGGAGCUCCCUGCCUGCACGGAGCUGCGGCUCACAGACGGUUAAUCAAGUGAGGAGGGCUGAGGGAAGUCACUGCACCCUUGGCAAAUAGCAAUCCAGACACAAGAGCAAAUAAUUUGUGUCAGCGUGACAACAGAAAAUGGAAUGUAAACUUGCUAAACAGCCAACAGAUACCAGCUUUUAUACGUCUGUUUGUCUCAGCCGGGCGCCUUUACAUUUGGGAUCUACUUAUUCCACCAAGGGCAUCGUGUUUUUCUUCCCCCUCUCUCCCUAAUGUUAACAGGGAGCAGAAGGCUUGCCAUAUAAAACCCAGGGCCAGCUCCUGCAGUGGGGCCGUGCCCAUCCCUUGGCUCGCUGACACUGGGCAGUUUUGUGCCUGCAAGAAGUGGCGCGUGUGUAGAUGACCUGCAAAGAGAAAAUUGUCAGAUGAAUUAUUUGUACUGAGUAAUUUGACCGGCUCUCCUUGGAAGCCUAAUGAAUAGGUUGUUUUCUGCAGCAGCUGCUGUUCAGGCUCUGGGGCGCAAGGCCACGUGGACUGGACGUUCAAAGGGAAUUACUGUGCUGGGGUUUUUCAAGUAACCCUUCAAAAAUUCAAACUGGAGCGCUCUAUCAGUCGACGGGGAGGAAAGAUGGAGCGGGGAAGGCUGAAGCAGGUGGGGAAAUCUUGUGAAGCCCUGAAAGCCUGCUGCUGAAAGGGUUCUGGUGUGAAGAUGCAUCCCUGGGGCUGGAAGGGACCCAGCUCAGAGGUCUCAGCUGCUUUCCCUGUACCUGUUGCAAAAGGGAUAUCAUCCAUGGGGGCUCCCCGUUAGCGGCCCAGUGCCACUGUGCCCUCACAUUGUGCGCAUGGAAUUUGGAGUUAUGGGGUUACGUCCAGGGGAACGUGGAUUUGGGGGUUAUGGUGCCAGGCUGCUGUCUGCUAACCACCACCCUGCCACCAAGGCGCCGAGCCCAGCACCACCUGGCAGAUGUUACCAGCACCGGGAUGGAAACGUGUGUGGAUCUAAUGAUCAUCUCCCCGAAAAUGAGGGCCUGCAUAUUAAAGCAAUAUUUGCAGAUUAUAAUUACCAUUAACGUUGGCACGUACUCACAGUAAGAACAGUGUCAAAAACAGGUUUUAACAGCAGGUGGCUGUCACAUCAGUCAAGUUUUUUUGUUUUAUUUUGUUUUCUGCACAUUUGGGCUGAUUCAGCGAGGAAGCAAUUUUUUGCCAUACCUUUUAUUGCGUGGUCUUUGCAUGGUGCCCUUUUUUAUCAGGGCUGAUUAAGAUUCCUGUUUCUUUCCUCCAGAAGAGUUCUAUUUACAUCCAAUACAAGAUCAGUGGGCUAACAAUUAAGGCAGUAGUGUGCUGCUAUUUCAGGUCUGUCGCCUGUUUAUUCGCCACAGCUGUCUGUGCAUGUGGGCUGCAUGAUACAGAGGUUGCCAUGGUUAAAAACGCUGUGUACUGUGCUCGGUAAAUAGUUGCACAACUGGCUGUGUAAAUGCCAGGUAGCACAUUAGGGUUUCUCUCGGGCAGUUUUGCUCAGGCACAAGCCUUCUCCCCAGUUCUGCACCUGCACUGAUUUGGUUUGCUUGCUCCCACCCAUAUGGAGUGGGACAAGGAAGGAAUGUGCCGCCGGAAAAGGACUCGCUUUGUGUUUGGCCUCGAGGGAUGAGGAUGGAGGGGAUGUGCAGGUCUUCACAGGCAUGAAAGGCCACCGCCAGGAAGCUGGAAGGAACCUCCUCCAUCGCUGGUGCGUGGGAGGGGGCUGUGGUCUUCAGUCGCUGUGAGGAAGAAUCCAGUUAGGUGCCAAGGAGUGACUUUGUAAUGGUAAUGGUGGCAAGGCGACCGACAGCCUGUGGAGGCUGUCAGACCUCAGCUGCUGAGGAUCUCUAAGAGCAGAUUGCAUCUCUCUUCGGCAGGAGUGAUAUACUGUGACUAAUGCAACCUUAAAUCAAGGAAACGGGCCGGAUGACCUCUCGAAGUGCUUCAUAGUCCAUAACUUUAUUUAUGCUGUUAAUAUUUGGAGGCAGAGCCUGAUUAAACUGCGGAAGCUGGCAGAGCUGUGCGGGGAGUGGCUUGCUGCGCAGGGGCAUGUGGCCACAGAGCCUGGGGGGGCAGGAUGCUGGCCUCCCGAAGCCAUACCAGAGGGCAUCCUCUGGCCCGUGCCCCUUUGGCUGCAUCAGGGCAGGAGAUGCUGGCACCAAGCACACCCACUCUUUGUUUCCCACACUCCAGCCCAAGGAUUUAUUUUAAAUAACAGCAGUAGUAAAUUAAAAAUAUGUGUUUGCAUGUGGGUGGGUUUUUUUUUUUUCCCUCCCAUUCCAAACAGCUCAUGCUCACAUUUCCUGGAGCGCCUUGUUUGGUUCUGCAGAUGUAAAGGGGGCCCAUGGGGUCAGGCAGUGCAGGUUUUCCAUUUUUCACAUCGCUGCACCCACAGACAGACAGAAUUCGGUAUCAUUCGCAUGGUACAAGGGAAAAGCCUUCCUAGUCAUUUUGCUUUUAACACCGUAUAUUUUUCUUGCGGUAACACUGAGGAAAAGAAAAGCCCUUUUCUACUGUGAAAGGCUGCUGUAGGCCCAGGUGCUGCCGCAGGUUGGGAAUAAACAUGCUUCCCAGCAAUGUGGUUUUCUUUAAAAUGGGAACUGUGAGAGGUGAAAGGAACCUGUAAUGGUAGCAGGCUGCAAGAUGGAUUAGCAGAUACGAGGCCGCUGGAAAUGGAAAGGGCUUGUCUCUCGCAGGGGCCUGGGCAUGCUGAUCUGCCACACGAGGGCUUGCAGAAUAACAGCUAUGAGGUGUAUGAUAAAUUAAUAGCAUAGAUUUAAGUGCUGAAGGAGGGAAAAAGAUAAUUGAGAUAUUUGGGUCACCUUUAUUUACCUAAGAUGAAAAAAACGAUGGCAGAUUUGUCAGGAAAUUAGCACAAAAUAGAGGAAGAGAAGUCGAUACAUGUGAUGGCUUCCCAAAUUCUCUCUGCAGUCUCCGCAGUUUAACCAUGGUUUCCCUAAAGGAGAACCUGCCCUGUUCACACAGCUUCACCAGGCUGACUUCACGUGCAGCCUCCUUCCCUUCCAAAUGAUCACUCACAGCUGCAAAUGAAAGCACAAGCCAGGGUAGGAAUUGUUACCCAUACAUAGGCAAUGAGGACGAUAUUGCUGUGGGGCAAUGGUCCUUGUGCUCAGUGAGCGUGGUGUGAGAGGUUGUGGACAGAGCUGGGUGAGCUUUGAGGGUUGGAGAGAGCUGGGCAGCCCGCAGCUGGCUUUUCCACCCUUCCCAUAUAGCAAGAGAGUCGGCAUGCCAUUAAUUAUACAGACUUCACGUCAGCUCUGUGCGGUGUUGUCUUCGUAGCAAAACAAAAGUACAAAGGGGCUGCUCUUUUUAUUAUUAUUUAUGACUAUUCCAGAGUUGUAUUGCUAGCCAGCAUCAGGCUGGCCCAGUGGCCCUGACCGCAGAUGGGUUUUGGGUGCAAUUCAGCCCCUGGAGAUCAUGGUCUGGAAAGCCAAGCAGCUGGGGACAAAGGAGGGACAGAGGGGACAGUGCCAGCAAUCAGCUUGUGGUGUGAAUGCAGAGAACAAGCUGUGCUGAUCCAGUGGGACAGCUGACAAACCAGGUGAGCUCCCUGCCCAAGGAGCAGCAGCUCCGCUCUUAACACCAGCUAUGCCAAGCAGCUUACCAGCAGUUCAGCCCGGAAUGUGUUUGCAUGGCUUGUCAGAUAAUUUGGAGAGCCGGACAUAUUCAUGGAAAUUGUGAUCUCUUUCAGGACAAUGCACAUGCAGGAAAAAAGCUCUGUUAUUAACCAUUUUAUUUCUGGGGCACCUUGCCUGGCUGCUCGAGCAAGGAGGAGAGUGCUGCAAGCAGGGGAGAGCCCUGGGGACCCGCUGCCCCACAAAGGUGGAUCCAGGAGGAGCUGGUGGCAGUCUACCUGCAGGUGGGACACUGUCCACGCUGCGCACCAGCCUGGGCAAAGCAGGUGGCUGCCAGGGAAGUCGGCUUUGAACCAGCAACUGCAAGGAGAGUUUGCACGAUCCAGAGUCACGGCUGUGGCUGUGUCACCCCACAGAGCCCAUCUCACCAGGCUCACCGGGCUUCUGCUGCUUUGGUGGCUUUCGCAGUGACCUCCAGAUCGCACAGAGGAACAGCACGGCUCCCAGCAUUUUCCGCUGGCAUGUUGCAGCAGCGCAUUUCAUUAUUCUCCGCUCUGCAGAACGCUCUGCUUGGCUUUGUUGAAUCUCCGUGCGCUUCUUUAAUUUAUCUCCCAAACACCACGUUAUACUUUAAUCCUGUCCUUCUAGAUAUUUGCAUAUCCUCCUUGGUUUGAAUGGUGCCUAAAUGCGGGCUGGCUCUUAAAGGCACAGGGAGAUUUGCAUGGCUGCCCAUGCCAAGAGCUGCUAAUGAAGGCACCAAUGAGCAUGGGAGUAUAAACUCACCACCUGUGGAGCCUUGUUUGGCAUCCUCAUUCAGCCUAAUAAAGAAUCAUUCAUGUUUAAUUGCUACAUUUGAUUGUUUAAUUACGGUUAUUUUACAUGCCAUCUUGUUUUGUCUUGGCUUUAGACACUAUCUGCUACCUUACCCUUUCUGAAUAGUGAAUUAUACUACAAGAGAAAAUUAUGUUAGUCAAAGAAUUAGAACUAGGCCUUUAAAUUGCAAUCAGGUUUUUUUUCUCUCUUUUUAAAAAAGCUGUUCAUAAAACCCUUUCUACUUGACGUUGCUGUACAGAUUCAAAUCCAGGGUGGUUUGGUUUUUUUCCCGUGCAGCAAGAAUUAUAGGAGUAACUCUUUCAAAUGCACUUGCAGGGCUAUGAUGUGGGUAGCCUCAUCUUCUCACUGAGGUUUUAUCAAAUUAAGUUUACUUUCUUUAAAUGUCAAUUCAUCUUAACAAGUGCAAGAUUUUUUAUUUUUUUUUGCAGAGGCUUAACUUGGCAUAAAAUUAGUUUAUUGCAGGUUCACUUAGUUCAGCAAUGCUCUGACUUCAGAUCAAUACAAAUCUGUCCUAAAACUUCAGUAAGAUGGUCUGUUUGCAAAUCUGGCUCCUCUUUAACUAAAGGAACGGAAAGGAAGCCAGGACCUGCCCUGUGUUUCUCCAGCUGUGUCAUUUUGUUGCCCAUCCUGUGCUGGUGUUUUCUCUGGGCUGAUGAUGGACCUUCCCUAAGCGAACUGCUUCUUCAUGCACUCUCCAGUCUGGCAAUGAGCUGCCUUUCACUUAUGUUUCAGCAGGGCAAGCUCCCUUUUAAUUAACGUGCUUAAUGACUCCAGAAACAACAGCACACCUCUGGUUCAUUUAUGAUCCUUUCUUGGAUAUUGUUGCAUGGCGAGCUGUCCCUGGCUCCUCUUGGCUUUACGGGCAGCACAAGGCAGCGCUGGCCUGCUCAGAGCCCUCCUGGUUCUGCUCUCGUCCCUUGAUGCAUGUGAGCUCCCUAUCCAGAUUUCUAUGCUCCAGAGCAUGCUGUGCUCCAUCUUGCUGGUAUGUGCAUGUUUUUCCUUUCUGAUCUUCAUCCAUCAAAUUGCCUGGCAUUGGGUCAGUCACCAUUGCUGGGGCACAGGUCUCUUGACAAAUUUGUGUAGAAGCAGCUGAAGAGAUGUCCAGGCCAUUUAAUGUCUACAGGAGAACCACCUAUCCUUUCUGUCCUCUUCUCCUUCAACAUUAUGACCUUCCCAAGUCGUCCUCCCUGCAGCCAACGGAUGUCCUCAGGCACCUCUGAAUUAGCUCCUUCCCAUGAAAAGCAAUGUUCCCAUCGUGACAACAUUUUCUCUGAUUUGCUUGUUCCCUUUCUCUCUGACCAACACAGACCCAGGAGGAGGAGGAGGGCCUCCCUUUCAUUGCCGCCUUCAUUCCUGCAUCGCUAAUGCCUAAAUCUGUCUCCAAGCAGUUUGCUCUGCCCACCCAGAAGAGAGGUAACCUUUGGAUAUUGCUCCUUAACCACGCUGUUUAAUUGGAGAAAACCAGCAACUAGUGUCUAGGAUUUAGAGAAAAAAUAUGGAAAAAGCAUUUAUCAAAUAAUAAAAAGAGGGACUAAAGUCAGGGCAUUGUGCUCCACAUGGGUUCUUGCCUUAGAAAGAAAGAAAGAAGAAAGGUGAGCUGAACUGCUGAAGGACAGUUGAAUGCUAGUUAUUUCCCUGCUUGGAGGCCAUAAGGGAUUUCCCUUUGGAUGCCUCACAGUCUCCUUCCCAGGAAAUUCUCCCCUUGCUUUUACUGCUGUCUUGCCUUUUUCCAUCUUGCCUUUUACAGCUAGGAAACGACCUGCCACCCAAGUGCUUUUUUUAGGGCAAUUUCAACUACUUCUUGUUCACUUAGGAGUUUGGAAAAUAUCGGGCUUAUGUACUAAAAUCAGUUUAAAGCACUUGGCAAGAAUAUGGUACAGGAAUAUGCAAUCAUUAUUCAUCAUUUGACCAGAUAUGAAAAUAAUCCUCACUCGUAACUAGCUUCUGAAAAUGGCCAGUGUAAUUUUUAUACGUGCAAUAACCAAGUAGGAAGCGACUGCUAUUUCUGCAGCAGACAAGGAGCAUCUCACUGAGACAAAGCUACGGCGAAGCAGGCAAUUUUCAGUUCCUUUUCAGCAAGCUUUCUAUAUCCUUUCUUGCCUUUGCGUUUACAGAAAGCCAAUUUUCCGUGUCCCUACUACACACAAAAUGGGGCAAGAUUUUAAAGAUACAGCUCCGCUCUAUUCGACUGCAGCAGACUGAAAGAAAAAUGAACUUCAGUACUCAGCUGAUCCCUUCGCAAUAUUUCAGGGUAAAUUAAAAAUCAAAAUGUCAAGAGGUUCAAUAUGUCAGUGGGCUUUUUGACAGGGCGGCCACUUUGAAGCCUAAAUGAGAACUGCGCUCCUUUUAAAAACUGGAACCAAAUGUGUGCAGCUGCUGCGCCGUUUAGAAAUUCUGGCCCUUCAUCUUUCUUUCUUUUUCCUUCUGCAAUAAAAUUAGUAAAAUA